rnacentral:rRNA from 1 species
UACAGAGGUCUCAAGCGUUGUUCGGAUUCAUUGGGCGUAAAGGGUGCGUAGGCGGGUCUUUAAGUCAGGGGUGAAAUCCUGGAGCUCAACUCCAGAACUGCCUUUGAUACUGAAGAUCUUGAGUUCGGGAGAGGUGAGUGGAGCUGCGAGUGUAGAGGUGAAAUUCGUAGAUAUUCGCAAGAACACCAGUGGCGAAGGCGGCUCACUGGCCCGAUACUGACGCUGAGGCACGAAAGCGUGGGGAGCGAACGGG